rnacentral:rRNA from 1 species
UACGUAGGGUGCAGGCGUUAAUCGGAAUUACUGGGCGUAAAGCGUGCGCAGGCGGUUUCUUAAGUCAGAUGUGAAAGCCCCGGGCUUAACCUGGGAACUGCGUUUGAAACUGGGAGACUUGAGUGUGGCAGAGGGGGGUGGAAUUCCACGUGUAGCAGUGAAAUGCGUAGAUAUGUGGAGGAACACCGAUGGCGAAGGCAGCCCCGUGGGUUAACACUGACGCUCAUGCACGAAAGCGUGGGGAGCAAACAGG